rnacentral:rRNA from 4 species
GAAAGGCCAAUCAAACCGGGAGAUAGCUGGUUCUCCCCGAAAGCUAUUUAGGUAGCGCCUCGUGAAUUCAUCUCCGGGGGUAGAGCACUGUUUCGGCUAGGGGGCCAUCCCGGCUUACCAACCCGAUGCAAACUGCGAAUACCGGAGAAUGUUAUCACGGGAGACACACGGCGGGUGCUAACGUCCGUCGUGAAGAGGGAAACAACCCAGACCGCCAGCUAAGGUCCCAAAGUCAUGGUUAAGUGGGAAACGAUGUGGGAAGGCCCAGACAGCCAGGAUGUUGGCUUAGAAGCAGCCAUCAUUUAAAGAAAGCGUAAUAGCUCACUGGUCGAGUCGGCCUGCGCGGAAGAUGUAACGGGGCUAAACCAUGCACCGAAGCUGCGGCAGCGAACGUAUCACCCAAGACAACUUUACGGAGUUGACGAUUGACGGAGCGAAGCGACGUCAAAGCGUUCAUUAAAGUCGAGUUGGCUUAGGGAUACGUUCGUUGGGUAGGGGAGCGUUCUGUAAGCCUGUGAAGGUGUGUCGUGAGGCAUGCUGGAGGUAUCAGAAGUGCGAAUGCUGACAUAAGUAACGAUAAAGCGGGUGAAAAGCCCGCUCGCCGGAAGACCAAGGGUUCCUGUCCAACGUUAAUCGGGGCAGGGUGAGUCGACCCCUAAGGCGAGGCCGAAAGGCGUAGUCGAUGGGAAACGGGUUAAUAUUCCCGUACUUGGUGUUACUGCGAAGGGGGGACGGAGAAGGCUAUGUUGGCCGGGCGACGGUUGUCCCGGUUUAAGCGUGUAGGUGUGUGUUCCAGGUAAAUCCGGUUCACUUUAACACUGAGGCGUGACGACGAGGCACUACGGUGCUGAAGCAACAAAUGCCCUGCUUCCAGGAAAAGCCUCUAAGCAUCAGGUAACACGAAAUCGUACCCCAAACCGACACAGGUGGUCAGGUAGAGAAUACCAAGGCGCUUGAGAGAACUCGGGUGAAGGAACUAGGCAAAAUGGUGCCGUAACUUCGGGAGAAGGCACGCUGACACGUAGGUGAAGUGAUUUACUCAUGGAGCUGAAGUCAGUCGAAGAUACCAGCUGGCUGCAACUGUUUAUUAAAAACACAGCACUGUGCAAACACGAAAGUGGACGUAUACGGUGUGACGCCUGCCCGGUGCCGGAA